CCUACGGGUGGCAGCAGUGAGGAAUAUUGGUCAAUGGGCGAGAGCCUGAACCAGCCAAGUCGCGUGAGGGAAGACGGUCCUAUGGAUUGUAAACCUCUUUUGUCGGGGAGCAACGGGGCAGUGUUGUGCCCUCUGAGAGUACCCGAAGAAAAAGCAUCGGCUAACUCCGUGCCAGCAGCCGCGGUAAUACGGAGGAUGCGAGCGUUAUCCGGAUUUAUUGGGUUUAAAGGGUGCGUAGGCCGAAGAUUAAGUCAGUGGUAAAAUUGCGGGGAUAAACCUCGUAGCGCCAUUGAAACUGGUUGUAGUGAGUGGGCGAGAAGGAGGUGGAAGGCGUGGUGUAGCGGUGAACGGCAUAGAUAUCACGCAGAA
rnacentral:rRNA from 1 species